rnacentral:rRNA from 1 species
AACGAACGCUGGCGGCAGGCCUAACACAUGCAAGUCGAACGAAGCCUUCGGGUUUAGUGGCGGACGGGUGAGUAACGCGUGGGAACGUGCCCUUUGGUUCGGAAUAGCCCCGGGAAACUGGGAGUAAUACCGGAUAAGCUCUUCGGAGGAAAGAUUUAUCGCCAAAGGAUCGGCCCGCGUUGGAUUAGGUAGUUGGUGGGGUAAUGGCCUCCCAAGCCGACGAUCCAUAGCUGGUUUGAGAGGAUGAUCAGCCACACUGGGACUGAGACACGGCCCAGACUCCUACGGGAGGCAGCAGUGGGGAAUUUUAGACAAUGGGGGAAACCCUGAUCUAGCCAUGCCGCGUGAUCGAUGAAGGCCUUAGGGUUGUAAAGAUCUUUCAGUGGGGAAGAUAAUGACUGUACCCACAGAAGAAGCCCCGGCUAACUCCGUGCCAGCAGCCGCCGUAAUAC